CAGAAGGGGUCCUCCAGGGUUUUCAGGUUUCAGAGGCUCUCUGGCACCCCACCCACAGAAACAGACCCGUGGGCAGUAAUGACGGGAGGGGGCAGAGGCUUUAGAUAGGAUGAAGGGAGAUUUAUUUUAGCACCAAGUUCUAGGGAAGUACUUUCAUCCUGCGCCUUGGGAAAAAGAAUGGGAUUUGGCGAUGUUCGUGCCCCUUCUCGUGGGUUGACCCUCCCAGAUGCUGAAGAAAUGAUGAAUCUCUCUCUCUCUCUCUCUCUCUCUCUCUCUCUCUCUCUCUCUCUCUCUCUCCCCCCCCCCCCAUACCCAAACUCUGGGACAAGGCAGAAGAACUGGUCCUGGCCCACAAGGAAAAGGAAAUGAUCUGGGCCCUAGAAACUGAUGGCUUUCUCCUGAGAGCUGCCUCCUUUCCACUGCCAAGUGUAACUUCAUAGGGGAAAAUCCAACGCCCUUGGCAGUUGUCUGUGACAAGUCAGAAACUCCAUCUACCCGUACCCUGGGCACUCUGCAACCUUCCCUAUCGUGUGAGGACAUCCCACGUGGAGCAUUGAAAGAGAGAGCCUGUGUGUCUUCUGGGGCCUUGUGCUUCUCCUGAAUAGUCCCCUGCUUUUUGAACACCUUUGCCUUGGAGAGAUCCCAGCGUUCCCCAGAGUUUCUCAGGAUGGUGAUUAUCACUACCUAUUUUUUUUUCAUGUCGAUAUGGUAAUAAAGGGAACAUUAGAGGCCCUGCACCUGCUUCAGUAGCAUGAAUUCUGAGCAGUGUAGAAGCAUUGGAGCAACUCAAUAAUUUCUCAGAAGGCAGGCAGUGGUGUGGACACCAAGGUAAAAAUGCUUUCAGGGGGCUGGAGAGAUGGCUCAGCGGUUAAGAGCACCCGACUAUUCUUCCAGAGGUCCUGAGUUCAAUUCCCAGCAACCACAUGGUGGCUCACAAACCAUCUGUAAUGAGAUCUGAUGCCUGCUUCUGGUGUGUCUGAAGACAGCUACAGUGUACUUACAAUAAUAAAUGAAUAAAUCUUUUUAAAAAA